AUAGUUAAGUGAAUAAGGGCGCACGGUGGAUGCCUUGGUACUAGGAGCCGAUGAAGGAC
rnacentral:rRNA from 1 species